rnacentral:rRNA from 1 species
UACGUAGGGGGCAAGCGUUGUCCGGAAUCAUUGGGCGUAAAGCGCGUGUAGGCGGCCCGGUAAGUCCGCUGUAAAAGUCCAGGGCUCAACCCUGGAAAGCCGGUGGAUACUGCCGGACUAGAGUUCGGAAGAGGCGAGUGGAAUUCCCGGUGUAGCGGUGAAAUGCGCAGAUAUCGGGAGGAACACCUAUGGCGAAGGCAGCUCGCUGGGACGUUACUGACGCUGAGACGCGAAAGCGUGGGGAGCAAACAGG